UACGUAGGGUGCAAGCGUUGUCCGGAAUUAUUGGGCGUAAAGGGCUCGUAGGCGGCCGACUAAGUCAGACGUGAAAUCCCUCGGCUCAACCGGGGAACUGCGUCUGAUACUGAUUGGCUUGAGUUCGGGAGAGGGAUGCGGAAUUCCAGGUGUAGCGGUGAAAUGCGUAGAUAUCUGGAGGAACACCGGUGGCGAAGGCGGCAUCCUGGACCGACACUGACGCUGAGGAGCGAAAGCCAGGGGAGCAGACGGG
rnacentral:rRNA from 1 species